rnacentral:lncRNA from 1 species
UUGGGGUAGCUUUGACAUUGGAUCAUACCAAAACUGAAGCUUGUGAAGAUGGAGUGAGUGACUUGGUUUGCUUUGUCAGUGGCUUGCUUCUUGGAACAAAUGCAAAAGUCAGGACUUGGUUUGGAACCUUCAUUCGAAAUGGACAACAGGUGAGAGUCAUGUAUGCACGUAGGGAAGACUUACUCCCCAGGGCAGUUAUUAAGAGUGGAGAAACUGCUUAGCAGGGUCUUUUUAGCUAGGCCUGGUACCGCGUACCAUAAUCCCUAUACUUGGAAAGCUGAGGCAGGAGGAUUGCUAUUAUUUCAAGACUAAAAGCCAUGGGAGUCAGGCAUAGUAGCAUACACCUUUAACCCAGGACCCAACAGUAGUAGACAACUGGACCUCUAUGAAGUUGAGUCCAGCCUGGUCUACAUACCAGCUUUCAGGCCAGCCAAGGCUAUAUAGAGAGUCUGUGUCUACAAAACAAAACAAAACAAAAGUCAGGGUGAGAAGGGGAAAACAAAGGAAAGAAAAGCUAUCUUUAGACCAGUGCUUGUCAGACUUAACUUUAGGAACCUCCUUACAUUU